rnacentral:rRNA from 1 species
CCUACGGGAGGCUGCAGUGGGGAAUAUUGCACAAUGGGGGAAACCCUGAUGCAGCGACGCCGCGUGAGUGAAGAAGUAUUUCGGUAUGUAAAGCUCUAUCAGCAGGGAAGAAAAUGACGGUACCUGAUUAAGAAGCCCCGGCUAACUACGUGCCAGCAGCCGCGGUACUACGUAGGGGGCAAGCGUUAUCCGGAUUUACUGGGUGUAAAGGGAGAGUAGACGGCAGCACAAGUCUGGAGUGAAAUGCCGGGGCUUAACCCCGGAACUGCGUUGGAAACUGUGCAGCUAGAGUGCAGGUGAGGUAAGUGGAAUUCCUAGUGUAGCGGUGAAAUGCGUAGAUAUUAGGAGGAAAACCAGUGGCGAAGGCGGCUUAAUGGACUGUAACUGACGUUGAGGCUCGAAAGCGUGGGGAGCAAACAGGAUUAGAUACCCGAGUAGUC